UGCAACAUAUGCCAAACAAACCAAAAACAGCAAAAGGCGAAGAACAAUUCAUGAAUUGUUGUCGUGUGCAGCCCUUACUAGUAUAUCGCAUCGGUGGAUAAACGUGAUUUAAAAAGCAUCAACGAAACAUUCUGUUCAAUGGUCAUGUUUAGCAAAACCUUGCCUAUUUAAACACCAUGAGCACAGGAACCUAGAGAUCGGAUGAACAAAGAUUCGGAUAUCAUGAUCUUGUGAUAAUAUCGCGUCUCAAAUUAAUGCAAACAAAAAUAUUGACAUCUCAAUUCUAUACUGUACAUGCGUAAAAAUAAAAACUUAAAACCGAAGCCUAACUGAAUUAAAAUCAUUACAUAUUAAAACGGUACCUGGUCAAAUUGCCAAAUAGUCUAAAAUAAUAGACAUGUUAUACGGGAUUCUUCCAAUCCCCAACGUCUAAACUGGUUGGUGCAAAAAAAGGGAGCAAGACAAAUCGGCCUCUUACCAAAUCGACCUUCUGCCAAAUCGGCCCCUAAGACGUUUCGGCCCUGCCAUUUCGUCCCCUUAAUUAAAAUGACUCGAGACGUUUCGGCCCCUUAGUGAUUUUCAACAGAGACAUUUCGCCCCCUUAAUUUUAUUUUUUUUAUCUUGAGUAUAAAGAAAAACAUUGUAGGUCGUCUUAUAAAUGUAAAUAAGUUGUAAAUAAAAUCUUUAAAUUUACAAAUAGACAAAUAUGCAUGAAAAACAUUGAUAUGACGGAUAUAAAAAAUAUAAUUAUUAUCUAAAUAACUAUUAACCUUGAUUUUUAAUAUAAAAUGUUAGAAAAUCUAAGAAAGUUUAUUUGUUAUAACUGUUAAUUAUUAAUUGAUCAUUAAAGACUUCAAAGAAAAUUUUGAUCCAAGCAUAUUUCAUUCAAUUGGCCAAAUAAUCCUGACAACAUGGCGCUCAAGGUGGGGAGGGGGCAUAAUGUUUGACUGACAAACAUCUCUUGUUCAAAUGUUCAUAUGUAGCCACAAAGUCACAUGGUGACAAAUCCCUUGAAUUAAUACUUUAAUGUUCCAUGUGUUAUGUUGUAUUGUUGUUUAUAGUGACAAGUACAUGCAUGAUUUAUAUCAAUUGUGAAGAAAUUGAUGUGGUUUAAGAUUAUCCCAGAGAUAGCCAUCACUGUUUGACAUUGACAUUAUAAAUAAUGACCUUAAACAAAUCAUGAAAGAUAAAAUGUUGAAAAGUUAAGGUUUUCUGAUGUUAAGUCAAGAAACAUUGGGCUUAAUAUGUGUGAAAGAUUUGUGUUAAAGCAGAAUUAUAAUUGGGGAAUUCAUAAUAAAGAGGUGUACUGAAAACCAACCAUGGAUACAGGUAGAACCAAUAAUGGAGGCUAAUAGAACCAAGCAUGGAAGCUGAUAUAACCAACAAUGGUCACUAUCAUAACCGACCAAAGGCAGUAAAAUUGAAGAAUUGACCAUAGCCAUUGAAGCAUGUAGGAACCAGCUCAAGCAUUUACCUCAGGACCCCUACAUCUCAACAGAUAGAGGAACACGCAAACAACCACAUCACAUUUCUGAGGACCCCUACAUAGAGGGACAUCCAAACAUCCACAGCAUAGUCCUAAGGACCUUUACAUCUCAACAUCGAGGGACAUCCAAAUGUCCACAUCAUGUUCCUGGGGACCUCUAUAUCUCAACAUAGAGGGACAUCCAAAUGACUACAGCAUAUUCCUGAAGACAUCUACAUCCAACAUAGAGGAACAUCCAAAUGUCCACAUCAUGUUCCUGGGGACCUCUAUAUCUCAACAUAGAGGGACAUCCAAACGACUACAGCAUAUUCCUGAAGACAUCUACAUCCAACAUAAAGGAACAUCCAAAUGGCCACAUCAUAGUCCUGGGGACCUCUAUAUCUCAACAUAGAGGGACAUCCAAACGACUACAGCAUAUUCCUGAAGACAUCUACAUCCAACAUAAAGGAACAUCCAAAUGUCCACAUCAUGUUCCUGGGGACCUCUAUAUCUCAACAUAGAGGGACAUCCAAAUGACUACAGCAUAUUCCUGAAGACAUCUACAUCCAACAUAGAGGAACAUCCAAAUGUCCACAUCAUGUUCCUGGGGACCUCUAUAUCUCAACAUAGAGGGACAUCCAAACGACUACAGCAUAUUCCUGAAGACAUCUACAUCCAACAUAGAGGAACAUCCAAAUGGCCACAUCAUAGUCCUGGAGACUUCUUCAUCUCAACAUAGAGGGACAUUCAAACAGCCACAUGAUAUUCCUGAGGAAAUUAUUUAUAAAUGACUGGAUGCCAUUUAAAUAAACAAUAGAAAAUACAAUGAAAAGUAGUACAAUGUACAAUAAGCAUAUCUACAUUUCAGCAAAUUACAGAUUCAUUUUCCUGUGUUACUUAUCUUGUCCAGAGCUUUUUUGAAAACAACAGCAUGGAAUUCAACUUAACUCCAUACGAUGAUUAAGCAAAAUGAAAGGAGGAACAGGGUACACAAAACUGAUGAAGCUACUGACAGAGUGUUGCCCUAUGUUACGUUUUCAUUACCGGGCUCCAAUUUCUCGAAUCUUCUUAAGCUUAACAGGCUUAAGUAGCUUAUUUCAAUAAGCCAAAAUACAUACUUAAAAAGAAUUUUGAUAAAUGAAAAAUAAUUAUAAUUGCUAGCACAAGUAUAAAAAUUUAAAGAAGUUAACAUUAUUUAUUGAAAACCAAAAAUAGAGAGCUUAGCUUAAUCCUGUUAUAAGGUACUUAAUAGGUAGAUCAAUCAGUAACUAUUUGAUGCAUUGUAUUUUAUUCAGACUUUAUACAAUGAUACUCAACCAUCCAACCAACUUAAAUAAGCAAGUUAAUUUGUGACAUUUGUGCUCAACUUUCCAACCUAUGAUUACGCAAGUUAUAUAGCUCUUUUUGGCUGAUUAUGGCCUUUAUUUCGACUUGAAACAAAUAAGUUAACGUUUUGCAUGUAAGUAAACAGGUUAAUAUAACAACUACUUGAUAUACUGCAUCGAAACUAUAUACAAAGAUACCACACUGUCUUGCA